GCCUCUGUGGUCUAGUGGUAGAAGCUUCGCUUUCGCGAACCCGGGACCUCUGGGUCAUGCCCAGAGGUCCCGGGUUCGAUUCCCGGGUGGAACC
rnacentral:tRNA from 1 species